rnacentral:rRNA from 1 species
CAGUAGCCACGGGAAUACGUAGGUGGCAAGCGUUGUCCGGAAUUAUUGGGCGUAAAGGGCUCGCAGGCGGUUUCUUAAGUCUGAUGUGAAAGCCCCCGGCUCAACCGGGGAGGGUCAUUGGAAACUGGGAAACUUGAGUGCAGAAGAGGAGAGCGGAAUUCCACGUGUAGCGGUGAAAUGCGUAGAGAUGUGGAGGAACACCAGUGGCGAAGGCGACUCUCUGGUCUGUAACUGACGCUGAGGAGCGAAAGCGUGGGGAGCGAACAGGAUUAGAUACCCCGGUAGUCCCUGUCUCUUAUAC